rnacentral:snoRNA from 1 species
ACCUCAUGAUUUGGGCAUUGAGAUAGCUUUCCAUUAAACCUCUCCCACGCUUCAAACAAUGGUUCUCCAUUCAAUUAUCGGAACAUUACAAUCUCAUCUGCUUUU